GUCCAUGGCCCUACCACCCUGAACAUGCCCUAUCUCAUCUGGAUUUGGAAUCUAAGCAGGGUUGGGCCUGGUUAGUACAUGGAUGGAAGACAGAUUUUCAGAAUAGACUGCUCAGAGACA
rnacentral:rRNA from 1 species